rnacentral:rRNA from 1 species
GACGAAGGGGGCUAGCGUUGUUCGGAAUUACUGGGCGUAAAGCGCGUGUAGGCGGCCAACUAAGUCAGACGUGAAAUCCCCAGGCUCAACCUGGGAACUGCGUCUGAUACUGGGAUGGCUUGGAAUUCGGGAGAGGGAUGCAGAAUUCCAGGUGUAGCGGUGAAAUGCGUAGAUAUCUGGAGGAAUACCGGUGGCGAAGGCGGCAUCCUGGACCGGCAUUGACGCUGAGGAGCGAAAGCCAGGGGAGCAAACGGG